AAUAAAAGGUCCCGUCCUGGUGAGAGUGAGGUGAGACGAGGACAAUAAGACAAUUAGACUAUAGAAUCACUCUGCUGAUGCUGGUAUGGAGCCAAGGACCCACUAAUCUGGUAAUUAGUUCAUCAUUUCACCAACACAUGAUGGAGCAACUCCCCCUCCCUCUCCCAGCCUUGUUCCUCCCCCCGUCCCUCCCUCCCCCACCCUUGUCCCUCCCCUAACGCCUCCCCCACCCUUGUCCCUCCCCUAUCGCCCCCCCCCCACACACUGUUUAAAUGGCUCUCUGUCCUCCAGUGGGUGUCUUGUGCCGGCUGGCUGGAGGUAAGGACGUGCGCUCUUCUUCUUCAUGUCCUUUUAGGAAUCAUUCCCCUCACAGAAGGAGGAAGAGGAGCUGGUUGCUGCUGUCAAUCAUCUUCAUUUGUGACUCGUGCGUGUUCCAACAUGUGUGCAGAAACUUCUCGAGGUCUCCUCUGAAGACAGGCUGGAUGAAGUCGACCCUGGAGCCUGAAAGACGAAAGAUGACGCAGGAAGGAGCGGACUACCAGAAAGUCAGACCUGAUGAAGAGGAAGGGUUCUGUGCAGAGGUGCAGGAGGAGCAGGAGGAGCAGGAGGAGCUGGAGGAGCUGGAGGAGCAGGACCAAGACACCAGAAGCAAGAAGCCCCGCAGGAAGGAUACACCCAUCUUCACGUGUCCUCCACAUGUUCCAGGAGUGAGACAACUGAAGGUGGACAAUCCUCUGGUCCACUCUGAGAGUGAGGAAAAUGGUGGCAAAGAGUGAAUUUCCGUUGAUCUUCCAGUCACUCUCUCUCUCUCUCUUACAUUCAUCUGUAACACAAGAGUCCCGGUUGAACCGGCUGCUGGUUUCACCUUGUUGACAGCGCGUCAGAAUUGUCUCAGUGGUCCUCAAAGCGUCCACUCGUCAGAUUCCUGCUCUUGUUUUUGGAAAUAUGCUUCCGUGCAAUUAUAAUCAAAUUCCAACUAAUUAAAAGGGAAAACAGUGGAAGUUGCUGUAAAUGAACAAAUGAAUAAAUACGUGAAUGAAUAAAAACACUCGUUAGCUUUUGGGCUUCCUCAAUAUUGUUUGAUUGGAUGCAAUGUAGCAUAGCAGCAAUGUCAAUAGCUAAUAAAUGUACAAUUUUUAAUCAUAACUUUUAUCUUUAGAUAAUAUUACCCCUUGCUUUAUUUUUAUUUAGACUUAUUAAUGUGAAAAAAUCUAAUGUUAUUGUAUAAAAAUAAGCUACAUUUAAUUAGAUCACUUAUUGUUUUGUUAAAGAUUUCGUCAUGUUUAAGUCUUGAGAGACUUUAGUUCCAGUUUUACUUGUUUAAGUCUUCUCCAGUUCCACCAUUGGCCCAAAGUUAAGCCCCGCCCCUCUUUGGCACCAUUACACAAACACCCAUCAGCUGUCAGGAACUAGCUGGGCCACAUUUUGGGGUUCCAUCCUUGAGCCCAGGGAACAGAAGAGCUUUGUGGCUAUGCUGUGGAGGGUUAUGUGUUCCAGUUUAAAGGUAGGUUGAACUUUAAUCCGAGUGGAAGAGAAUCUUUAGCACAGAGUUAGCACAGAGUUUAGCACAGAGUUUAGCACACACUGUUUGUUGACAGAAGGAAACAUUACAGCAGUGACGGGGGGGGGGGAGCAAAUGUAAAAUCACGUGAUUCCUGAUGUCAUAUGUGAUGUGAGGGUUGGGGUUGUGCUAGGGUUAGCGGUUCCCAGAUGCUAAUGUGUUUAACGAUUGCUACGUUAAAUACUAACCCUAACCCUGUUCUCCAGUAUGUGGACUGUAACAGCAGGAAAUCGAGACCAUCACCAACUCUGCAGCCUCCUACGAGUUCAGACGUCUCUUCAUGUCAACAGUUUAGAAUCGUACACACGAAAAACUCUUUUUUAAUGUUUGAAACACUGAUCCACUCGGUUUGGUUCUGCAGCUUCCGUAACAUAAAAGUCUCGUUAAUAAAGUUUCUGUGGGGCUUCAGAUUCCUGUGGCACACUCUAAAAUGUGGGUUGUUGCGACCUUGUUGGAGCAAUUCUGAAGAUAAAAGCGGACUGUGUUGGACCGCUAUUAUCAUCCCUGUUGUGCAGAAAGUUUGAUCCUGUAUCCAAACGUCCCACCAGGAUUCCUCAUCAUCCCGACUCCUGUUCAGGCCCUGAUCUCAGAGCAGUUCUGUUCAAACUUUAAAGAAUAAAAACAUGACACAGGAAGCAGAAAAUGGGACCUUUAAUCUACAGUUAUAAUGAUCGGAAACGAAUUUGCUUUAAGCAAGAAAAUAAAAAUGACAUUAGAAGAGACUAAGACACGAUGAGCAGAGGUUCAAAUGAAGCUCAGAUGUGAUCUACUGAAGCAGGGAUCCAUUUUCAACAGUGUAGAGUAACUAAAGUCUCUUCCGGUACCGCAGGGAUAUGUUCUGUAACUUGCGUGCUUUUGCUCUGGCAUCAAUAGGCUGGAAGUCCGACACCUUUAUUCUGAAGAGCCCGUAGGAACCGGCACAGUAGCUGGGUCUGUUGUGCUUCUGGGUCUGUUGCUUCAGCUGGACAUCUGAAUAAAAUACAGGGUGUCAUGAUCCAGCGUGUCUCCUUGUGCUGUCCCUCUGAUGGACUCUUUCCUGAGUCUCUCCGUCCUGCCCACUCCCAAAGCCAACCUCAGCAUCUUCCUCUCUGCUACCUCCAGCUCUGCCGCUGUCUCCAGACCACCCAACAUGGCUGGUCUCGCCACAGUCUUGGACACCUCCUUCAUUUUAGCUGAAACUCUCCACCCGUUCCAGCCUGCCUCUACACACUUCUUCACCUCUUUACCACACUCUCUGUUGCCCUGGACUGUUGACCCUAAGUACCUAAAAGCCUCCACCUUCUUGAUCUCUUGUCCCUGUAACCUCACUCUCCCACUUGGCUCCCUCUCAUUCACAAACAGAUACUCCAUCUUACAGCAGAUAACUAAGUCAACCACCAUCUGUCCUUCUGCGUUCCACUCCCGGAUACUAAACCUGCCCUACUUCCUACUCUCAGUCCUAGACUCUUGGCGUUCCUCUUCUCUCUCUUCCUACGGACACACCUUCCUUCUCUCUUUCUUCGACCAACAGUAGUCCAGUUUCCAUUGGCAUCCCGUACAACAGCACUGAUGGCGGUCGUUGUUAACCCUGGC
rnacentral:lncRNA from 1 species